rnacentral:misc_RNA from 1 species
GCCGUACCGGAAGGUGUGGCUGGAUCACCUCCUUUUAGGGAGACCAUCUGAGACUAGACCGAACCUAAACAAUAGGUCAAGCUCAGUCAUCCCUGGUCGUUCGAGGAAUAGAUGUCAAAGCUUUCAAACUAUUAACGGGUUCGGAACUCGCGGGCUAUUAGCUCAGUUGGUUAGAGCGCACCCCUGAUA